UUUCCUAGAUGCCCUUCAACUCCAAAGAGGUCGUGGUCUCAGGAAGCAGGAAGAAGGCUGGGGCCGAGCCCAUGUCUCUGCGGGGGCCCAGGGAAGGAACAGUUGCCCCAGAGCCAGGAAAGGCCGGUCGUUUCUUUACCCACCAGUUCACCACGAUCCAUCCAAACGAGGGUCAGACCCCAGCUGGACUUCGUCUGGAAGGCCUUUGCCAGAAACCGUCUGGAAAGGGAAACCUUGGGAUUUAAACAAGGCUAGAGUGGAAGACGGGAUGCCUAAAGGGAGAGGAGAGCAGUACUGUGAGGACCCCCGCCCCACGCCCCUUUCUGUACACACAGAACGGCCCCCACGCCAAGAGGGAAGCCAAGACCUCCAUGUCAAUCCCAGCAUCUGGCAGAGACGAGAGCCGCUACUCAGGACGAGGCCAUUCCACACCGUGACCUUAUUUCUCCUUCAUUCAGAGGUUUGAAACUAUAAAGUCAUUGCUACCGAAGAUGACAAUCUGCUUUCUGGCCCUGGGUAGAUAAAUGGGGACAAUAUCAACAAAGCGCCAACCCCCCUCCAGAGAGCACACCUGUUCCACCUCUAGCCACGUGACUGUCUCUCUUUCUCCGAAUCUGACUUCUGGACUAACAGAGGACGAAUUUCAUAACUGAUAACGAGCGCCAUCCUGUAGACGGCCAGCAGGGCCUGUCCAGAGGACGCAUAUUCUAGGCCAAGAGGCUGGGAAGGGAUGCUUCCUCAGGAGGGACCUUCCUUAAAUGCAGAGACCCUGCAUUGUAGGAUGUUGGACAUGGUAAUUCUGGAUGGAGCAAAGCACAGGAAAUACUAAAGCUGUACAAACAGCGAGAACAGGAGGGCUGGGCUCCCACGGGCCCCUACCCGGCCCCCACCCCCAAGCAGUCCCAGCUCCCCCAGGGCCCAUCCGGCCCCUGCAGGUUCCCAAAGACCGUUGAUAUCAUAGUCAACUACAUCCUCAUGGCUGUGUUUGUACGGCCCCUCGCAGCUUAGGACAGCUCUCACUGGGCGGAGGAAGGCCCAGUGGCGUGCUGAGAUUGGGAAACCGAGGUCCAGAAAAAGGCCCCACAUCACACAGGUAGUCAAGGGGAAAAGAGCCUAGCAGCCAACAGCCGGGACUUUGCAGUCAGAGGAACUCUCUGAAAUCAUAGCCAACUGCCUUCAGCUUGGUUGCUGGCUCGCUGGAGCUUGCCUCCUCCUCUGCGGUACGGCGUACCCUCCAGGAACAGGGUCCCAGGGCCACCCUGCCAGGCUUCACAGCUCAACCACUUGCCAGCUGAAUGACUGUGGGCAGGUUACUUACCCCCUCUGCACCUUCCUUUCCUCCCCUGUAAACCAGGAAGGAUAUUGGUACCCAGUGCACACACGACCCGGGAAACCCUCACACACAUAUGCGGAGAGAAAGAAGCCAGACGUAAAGGACCACACUGCAUGAUUCAUCGAUUUGAUGUUUGAAAACGGGCCAACGGCUUCAUGAGUAUGGGGUUUUCUUGUGGGGUGCUGAAAACGCUUUGGAACUAGACAGAGGUCUUCCUCUCCAGAGCCCAUAACUCCAGACUAAUCAUGAAAGAAGCAUCAGACAAAUCCCACCUGAGGAAUAUUCUACAAAAUACCCACCCAGUACUCCUCAAGACUGUCAAGGUCAUCCAAAACAAAGUCCAAG